AUUGAACGCUGGCGGCAUGCUUUACACAUGCAAGUCGAACGGCAGCGCGGGGCAACCUGGCGGCGAGUGGCGAACGGGUGAGUAAUACAUCGGAACGUACCCAGAAGUGGGGGAUAACGUAGCGAAAGUUACGCUAAUACCGCAUACGUUCUACGGAAGAAAGUGGGGGACCGCAAGGCCUCAUGCUUUUGGAGCGGCCGAUGUCUGAUUAGCUAGUUGGUAGGGUAAAGGCCUACCAAGGCGACGAUCAGUAGCUGGUCUGAGAGGACGACCAGCCACACUGGGACUGAGACACGGCCCAGACUCCUACGGGAGGCAGCAGUGGGGAAUUUUGGACAAUGGGCGCAAGCCUGAUCCAGCAAUGCCGCGUGAGUGAAGAAGGCCUUCGGGUUGUAAAGCUCUUUUGUCAGGGAAGAAACGGCUGAGGUUAAUACCUUUGGCUAAUGACGGUACCUGAAGAAUAAGCACCGGCUAACUACGUGCCAGCCGCCGCGUAACAC
rnacentral:rRNA from 1 species